rnacentral:rRNA from 1 species
AUUGCACGCUGGCGGCAGGCCUAACACAUGCAAGUCGAGCGAGCGGCGGACGGGUGAGUAAUGUAUGGGGACGGCCAGAUAGAGGGGGAUAACUACUGGAAACGGUAGCUAAAACCGCAUACUAUCGGAUACCCACUAUGGGAGUAGCUAGUAGGUGGGGUAAUGGCUCACCUAGCCGACGAGCUCUAGCUGGUCUGAGCGGCUGAUCAGCCACACCGGGAAUGAGACACGGCCCAGACGCCUACGGAGGCAGCAGUAGGGAAUCUUGCACAAUGGGCGCAAGCUGGAUGCAGCCAUGCCGCGUGUAUGAAGAAGGCCCUAGGGUUGUAAAGUACUUGCAUUCGGGAGGCGUUACCGACAGAAGAAGCAACGGCGAACUCCGUGCCAGCAGCCGCGGUAAUUC